ensembl:snRNA U6 U6 spliceosomal RNA
GUGCUCGCCUCGGCAGCACAUACACUGUAACUGAAACGACACAGAGAACAUUAGCACGGCCCCUGCGCAAGGAUGACAUGCAAAUGCGUGAAGCGUUCCGUUAAAAA